rnacentral:rRNA from 1 species
CGCAUCUGUGCAUGCAGCAUAUCAAUAAGCGGAGGAAAAGAAACUAACAAGGAUUCCCCUAGUAACGGCGAGUGAAGCGGGAAGAGCUCAAAUUUGAAAUCUUAAAGGGUUUCCCUUUACGAAUUGUAGUUUAAAGAAGUGUUUUCUGUUGAGGUUUUGGUAAAAGUUCUUUGGAAUAGGACAUCAUAGAGGGUGAGAAUCCCGUAUUUGACCUUUACUUUCAACUUUGUGAUACACUUUCAAAGAGUCGGAUUGUUUGGGAAUGCAGUCCAAAAUGGGUGGUAAAUUUCAUCUAAAGCUAAAUAUUGGCGAGAGACCGAUAGCGAACAAGUACCGUGAGGGAAAGAUGAAAAGAACUUUGAAAAGAGAGUUAAACAGUACGUGAAAUUGUCAAAAGGGAAGCGUUUGACACCAGUGUUGUUUUUCCUGAAAAUCAAUUAAAGAACUGUUUAUGCUAAGUUGUUUAGACUUUAUCAGCUAUCUGUUUAGUUUUGAGCUUUUCUUUAAUGCACUUUUCAGUUAACAAGUCAACAUCAAUUUCUUUUGCUGUAAAAAAGCUUGAGGAAGGUGGCUUGAGAUUCGUCUUAAGUGUUUAUAGCCUCUUGCCUAUGCAGUCGGAGAGAUUGAGGUCUGCAGCGUAGAUCCUUCGGGGCUAAAUGCAUUUGUGCUAAGUUAUAGCAUUUUAUAGACAACUUGUUGACUAUGAUUUGUCUUGUAGCUUACUCGCUUAUGUUAUUUUACCUACGCUUAGGAUGUUGAGCGCAUGUCUCUCUC